rnacentral:rRNA from 1 species
UCCGUAGGUGAACCUGCGGAGGGAUCAUUAUUU